rnacentral:lncRNA from 1 species
UACCGUGGUAGACAAGGCCAGGAGGGCCUCUGUUCCUGUGGGCUUCCGUUCUAGUGGCGAGCCACGUGCAGCGUGGUUGCUGGAGACGCGGGACGCUUUCCUGACUUGCAUAAGAAAUGGGCACGAGGGCAAGGCUCUGUGCUAGGUUUUGUGGCAACUGAAAGAUGAAUCAGAGGCAUUUCCAGCUCUCCAGAGUGUCACUGAGUGGAGACAGACUCGUGCAUGGAAUCACACCCAAGGCAGACAGUGUAAGUGAUGUCAUGGAAAUACAACCAUGCAGACAGAUGCAGUUUCACCCUCAUAGCUCUGCUAUGAGGUAGGCAGACCCUGCCCUAUAUGAAGAAGAUGAGGCAUAGAGAAGAUGAGUAAUUCACCUGUGCCACAGC